rnacentral:rRNA from 1 species
AACGAACGCUGGCGGCAGGCUUAACACAUGCAAGUCGAGCGGAGUGAUGGUGCUUGCACUAUCACUUAGCGGCGGACGGGUGAGUAAUGCUUAGGAAUCUGCCUAUUAGUGGGGGACAACAUCUCGAAAGGGAUGCUAAUACCGCAUACGUCCUACGGGAGAAAGCAGGGGAUCACUUGUGACCUUGCGCUAAUAGAUGAGCCUAAGUCGGAUUAGCUAGUUGGUGGGGUAAAGGCCUACCAAGGCGACGAUCUGUAGCGGGUCUGAGAGGAUGAUCCGCCACACUGGGACUGAGACACGGCCCAGACUCCUACGGGAGGCAGCAGUGGGGAAUAUUGGACAAUGGGGGGAACCCUGAUCCAGCCAUGCCGCGUGUGUGAAGAAGGCCUUAUGGUUGUAAAGCACUUUAAGCGAGGAGGAGGCUCUUUUGGUUAAUACCCAAGAUGAGUGGACGUUACUCGCAGAAUAAGCACCGGCUAACUCUGUGCCAGCCGCCGCGGUAACAC